rnacentral:rRNA from 1 species
AGCGAACGUUAGCGGCGGGCCUAACACAUGCAAGUCGAGCGAGAAAGUGGCUUCGGCCAUCAGUAAAGCGGCGGACGGGUGAGUAACACGUAGGUAAUCUUCCCUUGAGCGGGGGACAACGUUUCGAAAGGAACGCUAAUACCGCAUAAGUUUCCAGAGCCUCCGGGUUUUGGUAAGGAAAGCUAGGUCGCAAGAUCCGGCACUCGAGGAGGAGCCUGCGUCGCAUCAGCUAGUUGGUGGGGUAANGGCCUACCAAGGCGAAGACGCGUAGCUGGUCUGAGAGGAUGAUCAGCCACACUGGGACUGAGACACGGCCCAGACUCCUACGGGAGGCAGCAGUGGGGAAUAUUGGACAAUGGGCGCAAGCCUGAUCCAGCCACGCCGCGUGAGUGAUGAAGGCCUU